ensembl:lncRNA
GUACUAACAUUUUUAAUCAACUAUUUUGUUAACAUUUUUCCUUUACCUAUUUAUAAACGUUCUUAAUAAAAUAACAAUCACUCUGAAAAAAAUACUCAUAAAAAAAAAAAAACACUUAACAGGGGUAACAAACCACAAUUAAAUAUAUAUACAUAUAUAUAUAUAUAUAUAUAUAUAUAUAUAAAGGAAAAAAAAAUGGAUAAAAAAAAGACCGCGAAUAAAACGGACGCACAUAAAAAAAGAGAUGUUAAACAUAAUUCUAAAAUGACAGAAAAAAAACAAGAAAAGAAAAGUGAAACAGGAAUAAACAAAACUAAAAGAGAAGAUGGAAUGAAUUCAAAUAAAAAGAAUAACCCAAAAGUAGAAAAAAUAAUAGGUGCAAAAAAUAAUCGUGUUAUUAAUAUAGCAAAUAAUAAUAAUAAAAAAAAUGCUAAAGUUAUAAAAAAUAAUAAUUCAGGGGGAUGUUUUUUAAGUUCUUGUUGUUGUAAUUCUGCUGAAAGCGAACAAAUAAAUGAAUUAAUUGUGGAAGAUGACAAAGUAGUAGAAAAUAAAGAAAAAGAAAGAUUAACUAUGGAAUAUGAAGAUGCUGUAGCACAAGAAGAAAAUGCAAAAAUAAAAAAAAUAAGAGAAGAAGAAAAUAAAAGAUUAAAAAAAUUACAAGAAGAACAAGAAGAAAAAAAAAAACAAGAAGAACAAGAAAAAUUAAAAAUAGAUGAAAAUGUAAAUACAAGAAAAAGAGAUACUAUAUUAAUACAUAAAGAUAUUAAAGGUAAAGUAUUUACAAAAAAAAAAGCAAUAAUGAAUUUUAAAGGGGCAGCAUCAGCACCUGAUGCACCUGAUGUAACUGCAUGUGUUGGUGAUCCACCAAAAGUAAAAGAAACUAAAGUACCUGUUGGUAAGGGUAUAUAUUUAAUUUAUAAUACAGAAGAAAAUGGAAAAUUAGAAAUACAUUAUUCAAAAGAAGCAAUUAAAGGAAGUGGAAUUUUAGCAUAUAUAGGUUCAUGUACUAUACCUGAUUUCUAUUUUGAACAAAAAAAAAAAAAAGAAAUUAUAUGUACUAAUAUAAGUAACAAAAUGCAAAGUGAAUUUAUAAAUGACCGCAAACCCUAUUAUGAAUGUUAUAUAGAAUUUAUGAAACUUAAAAAAAAGUUUAACGGUAUAUUAUAUUUCUUACCAGCUUUCGGUGCACAACCCCCACCAAAGUUGGACAUAAUGUUUUACAACACUAAAGAGAAAAAGAUAAUUUAUGCACCUUUAGAACAACCAGUCGAGUUUGUCGGUGAAUAUAUUUUUGUUAUUCAGAAAGGGUUGGAUAUAUUCAAAGACGCAUCAGAUCUGGAAAAAUUAUAUUCAUAUGUUGGUUCUUAUGGAGCAAUGAUAAAUAUAUCCUAAGUAAAUUAUCAUCUGGGUAUGUACGUAUGUACAUAUAUAUAUAUAUAUGUUUAUCCGUAUGUAUGUUUAUCUGUAUGUAUGUAAAUGAAUAUAUUUGUUAAUAACUAUUUAAAUAUAUAAGAAAGACUUUAGAUAUGAGAAUUAAAAAGUAUACAUUUUUGUUCUCUCCCUCUCUCUCUCUCUCUAUCUAUCUAUCUAUCUAUCUAUCUAUCUCUCUCUCUCUUUUUUUUUUUUUUUUUUUUUUUUUUGUACCUAUUUUUUUUGUUGCUUACCAUUUUCAAAUAACACUAUUUCGUUUAUAACUUUAUUGUUGUUUCAACUGUUAUUUUAAUAAAACAUUUUUAUAUGUUUUUUGUUGACCUUUU